rnacentral:tRNA from 1 species
GGGGUUGUAGCUCAGUGGUAGAGCACUCACCUAGCAUGUGUGAGACCCUAGGUUCGAUCCUCAGCACCA